AUUUCAUUCUCAGUUCUCUACGCUAAAACUCGUUCACCGUCGGUGGAGAAAAAUAUCUCGACGAUCUCGUUCGUCAGCCGAUCUCUAUUUUCGGAUAAAAGAAAAAAAAAUUUCCCAAAUCGCACAAUAGCCAUGAUUUCGUUCUCAGUUCUCUGCACUAAAACUCGUUCGCCGCUGGUGGAGAAAAAUAUCUUGGCGAUCUUGUUCGUCAGCCGAUCACUAUUUUCGAUGACGCAUGAUUGGUUUACACAAGCUGAAUUUACAGCCUUCCGUGACAAACUGUUGUGUGAAGUUCAGUAGCAUAGGCUGCAUUUUAUUCAUUUAUGCAUAAUUAUUGUGUAAUUAGUUGUUGCGGAUGUCAAAUUGAGUUCACUUAAAAAAUGGUGGUGAUUAUGUUCACUGUUGCAAUGUGCGAAAUUAUGUAUUAUUAUUGGUUCACGGGUUUAAAGAGCAUCGUUAUUCAGCUUCUAGUUAAUUUAUUGGAACAUUUCUUGGAUUCAGCAUAAUG